ACGGGAGGCAGCAGUGGGGAAUAUUGCACAAUGGGCGGAAGCCUGAUGCAGCGACGCCGCGUGAGGGAUGACGGCCUUCGGGUUGUAAACCUCUUUCGACCCUGACGAAGCGUGAGUGACGGUAGGGGGAGAAGAAGCACCGGCCAACUACGUGCCAGCAGCCGCGGUAAGACGUAGGGUGCGAGCGUUGUCCGGAUUUAUUGGGCGUAAAGAGCUCGUAGGCGGCUCGUCGCGUCGACCGUGAAAACCCGCGGCUUAACUGCGGGCUUGCGGUUGAUACGGGCGGGCUAGAGUUCGGUAGGGGAGACUGGAAUUCCUGGUGUAGCGGUGAAAUGCGCAGAUAUCAGGAGGAACACCGGUGGCGAAGGCGGGUCUCUGGGCCGAUACUGACGCUGAGGAGCGAAAGCGUGGGGAGCGAACAGGAUUAGAUACCCUGGUA
rnacentral:rRNA from 1 species